UUGGACCCCCUUUUUUGGUAGGGGGGCUGUUGCCGGCUGAUUUAGUCGACAACAGCCCCCCCCCCCUACCAAAAGGGGGUGGGGA
rnacentral:pre_miRNA from 1 species